CACUUGGGGGCUACAGCUGCUUCACACCUGUAUUUGGCCAAUUCGAUACAAUUUCUACACAUUAGCCUUUGUAUCUCAUCCCCAAGUUUUAAAUUUUAUAUCUAUAUAAAAAGGGGGAUAACUCAAUUUUAAUUUCAAAAGUGUCAAACAGCUGUUAGUCCCCAGUUUUUCCAAGUUGUAAUUGUUAUGUAAAUAUGUAUAUAUGUUGUGAGAUUACACAUGCUUAGUAGUAAUAAAAUAUUUCUUUUAUCCUAUUGUUUGUUAACAUAGAUAGAUUCAAAGUAUGAUAGAAGUGCUGGUAUAAAUCCAUGAGACAGCGUCAACUUGGCAAUAGUAUUUUAGUGCGACAGUAAAGGACUUAUAAGUUGGUAUAGUUUGCUCAGGUCACUUGUAGUUUGGUAUAUAAGUCAUGCAAUAUAGUAACAGGUUGGUAAAGGUCCAAGAUUGGUUUUCUUAUACAUGUAUCAAGUUCCAUUAUUGUGGUAUAUGCCAUGAGACAUUUACUAGGCUGUUCGUACAUGUAGAUAUCAUGAGAAAUAUUGGGUUUAUUACAUUAGGAAAUUACAGGUCUAUAAAAUAAUAUUUA
rnacentral:lncRNA from 1 species